CCCCCUGGGCUCCCCCGGCCCCAAAAAGGAUCUGGAGACAAUGGACACCUGAACAUCCCAAACCUGCACAGAAACGGCACCUCCAAGGGCUGAGAGCAGAAAUCAAACCAGUUUGUGACACAACAGCCAGAGGGGGAAGAGACCCCUUUGGUGUUUUCAUCACCGUGCAGCUCAGAGGCGUCUGAGCCAGGGUGGAAAUGCUGGAAGUGGAGCCCAGAAGUGCUGAUCAGUCAAACGCCCUGAGCCAGUUCAAACACAUUCCUGAGGGCUGGCACAGCAACUUUGCCCUGGCAGGCACCGUGCCAGGGCAGGGACCUCUGUCCUCACCUCUGUCCUCACCCUGCGGCAGCAGGGAGCUCUGCCCCCGCGGGCACUGCCCCUUCCAGCUGCUCCCACAAAGGCACCAGCAGGAUUCCUCUGGAGCCAGAGGGAUUUGAACCCAGGCGAUCCCACAGCACAGGGGAAUGUUGUCAGUGACCCCGAACCCAGAGCCAGAAAUACCGGGAACAGGGCCUCAGAUACACUGGGAACAGGGCCCCAAACACACCGGGAACAGGGCCCCAAACACACCGGGAACAGAGCCCCAAACACUGGGUUUAUUGUUCCAUGUAAUUUAGUUCCAUAUGCGUCCCUGGAGCCUCCUUCCAUUGCACUGGGGAUACUGCAAAGGUGAUGUGGAGGGUUUUGUUCCUUCCCAAUGUCCCAUGUCACCUGCCCCCUGGCAGUGGGAGCCCCUGGUGUGUCCUUGCCCCCUCUGUGGAUGUGGAUUUCCCUGUGGAUGCACCCCAGGAAAUCUCCAGAGCCCCCUCCCUGCAUCCUCUUCCUCAGGUGAAGCUGAAGCCUCAGGGGAACCCUGCCAGCCUUUCCUCAGGUCCUGCUCUCCCUGCCCACACACUCCUGCAAGGCUCUGCUGCUUGCCAAGGAACUCCUUCUCAUCCCAGCUUCGCUGCCCGCUGAUUUCUCGCCUUUUUCACCUUUCAGCAGGAGUGGGAUGUGGGAGACGUCACAGCCUGGGGCUGGAGGAGACGCAGGAGCAGGGCUCGGGAAUCCUGAGGAUUCCUCACCAGGAGCACACGGGGACAGCCGAGGUCCCAGUGCAGCCUCCCACUCCGUGUCAGCGUGCAGGAUUCGGCACAGCACCUCCAAAACCUCCAACAGCUCGAGGCUGCCAGCCUGACGAGCUGAGAUCCACACUGAGCUGCCUUCCAUCCGGAUUUUCGGGAAUUUGACAGCUCCAUGGAGCUGCAGCUCAGAGCAGCUGCUGACAGCUCAGGGGAGGAGAUGGGGUCAUUCCCUUCCCGGCAAGGAAAUCAUGGAUAGCACCCCUGGGAAUUCCACAGUCCAUGCUGGAACUGCUGGCUCCUGUAAAAUCAGCUGUUGAAGGAUCUGCUGCACUGCCAGAGCCUGCAAUGCCCCAUUUCCCCCCAGCACCCCCAGGUGCUGCCUGGGCUGGAGCUCCUUCCAACACCAGCAGGAGAAAUCAUCCCCAAAUGUCCAAUUUCUGUCACCUCUCUGAGCAGGAUCUGAGAUCCUGCAGCACUUCCCACUCGUUUGUCCCCUGGGACAGAAGGCACAACCUUCCCAAUCCCAAACUCCAGCAAGCUGUACUGCAAGACAAGGGCAGCCAGAAGUGUCUCUGAACUCACACUAACUCUUACCCCAGCCCUCAUCCUCCUCAGACAGAUCCCAUCUCCCUCUGAAAUUCCUCAUUACAUUAUAAAACUGUAACUUGAUGCCCUGCUGAGAAUUUUUAAAUCUUCUCCAUUGUAUUCUUAAAGUAUAUAAGCAAAACCCCCAUCACUUAAUGAAGUGUAAAACUAAUUAUUAUGAAAUAAAACUAGCUGUUCACCAAGUGGAAAACCA
rnacentral:lncRNA from 1 species